CGUUCUCGGCCGUCUCCCACGGCGCUCGUAGCCCCGGAUCACCACUCUCCUUCCACCCGCAGCGACGCCUCGUCGUUCCUCUCGCGGCGGGUCGCCGCCCCCUCCGCAUCCUUUUUCCGGUCGCCUGCGGCCUUCGACGCGACCCUCUCCUAGCCAAGCCACGGCGCUUGAUUCGCCGAGCCGGCCGAGCCCCCAGCCGCCUGUCCCUCCUCUCUGCUCAACAGGAGCGUAGGCGCCCAACACCACAGGAUCCACCCCCAGGCCUCUUCGUCCUACGAGGCAGCACAAGGAAGAACGGCGGUCUCCUGCCACCUCCAACCCCGCAUCAUAGAUAGGGCUGAUUCGCAAGGUAUAACCUGAAUUUAUCUCACUGGGCUCAGGUGGGUGUUGUUACAUCAACCUUUCCUAGCUACAAGGCAUGCAUGCAUGCGUGCUGAGAAUCUUGAGACAGGAGGCUAUAUCUCAUUCGAUGUUACCUUGUCGAAAUGUGGGUCCGUCAUAGAAUGGAACUGGAACACUCCUUGUUGACUGCAGCAGAGGCAGAGAAGAAAAACAGAAGUUGAUAUGAGAUCAACUUGCACAAACUCAAGAAACUGCUGCUUGU